GGAAUAUUGCGCAAUGGACGGAAGUCUGACGCAGCGACGCCGCGUGGAUGAUGAAGGCCUUCGGGUUGUAAAAUCCUUUUCAGGGGGAAGAGCGAGGACGGUACCCCUGGAAUAAGCGUCGGCUAACUACGUGCCAGCAGCCGCGGUAAGACGUAGGACGCGAGCGUUAUCCGGAUUUACUGGGCGUAAAGCGUCUGUAGGCGGAAGUGUAAGUUGGACGUGAAAGCUCCGGGCUCAACUCGGAGAGGCCGUUCAAUACUGCACAACUAGAGGCCAUCAGAGGGGCGUGGAAUUUCCGGUGUAGCGGUAAAAUGCGCAGAUAUCGGAAGGAACACCAGUGGCGAAGGCGGCGCCCUGGGGUGGGCCUGACGCUAAGAGACGAAAGCUAGGGGAGCGAACAG
rnacentral:rRNA from 1 species